UUAGUCACUGCCAUGAUCUCAGAGGCCCUGAAAGCUUCUAAUACAACAGUGCUAAGGGAAAGUGUUGCAUCUUGUUGUCAUGUCUUGAACCCGAUUCCCAAGGAAUUCUGCAGGCGAGAUCCAGGGCAGCCCAGAGGACAGUGCAGGAAUCUUAGGCAUGGGUUUGGAUCCUCAGUUCAGCUGAAGACAGUUAGAUAUAUCACCUCAGCAGAAGCUACCACGUAGUUAGAGGCGCUGAACCUUUAACACUCCAGAACAACUGUGUAGCAGACAGCGAUCAACCAUUUAUUCACUGCCUCUCUAUGCCUAUGAAAGCUUUACCUGUUGAUUUUUGCUUAUUACGCAACUGCUCACAGGACCAGCCUUCAUGAACAACGUGGCACGUUUAGUUUUGGCUUCUCUCCCCUCCACCCUCAAAUAACCUCACAGAAAGGCUGUGGUUCUUAAGUCUCAGUUGAGAACGCAAGACCCGUCGGAUCAGGUGAGUGGCCCUUCGAGUGCAGUAUCCUGUUCUCACAGCAGCAAACCAGAAGGCCAAGGGAAGCAACCACACCUGCACUUCCCAGAGACUGGUAUUCAGAGGGGUUGAACAUAGCCAGCACAGCAACUAGCCAUUGACCACCUUGGCUUCCAGUCUCUUAGUGCAGCUCCUCCAGCAAGCGCCAAAAUGGUUCUCCAAUCCAGGCCCCACAUGGCGUUCUGGCCGGCCCAGCAGCUCACAGGCCUUUGUUCUCUUACUUCUUCUCAGCACCCAUCUGCCCCCAAACCUCCUGUAAAAUACACUUUUCCCUGUCCUCUCACUCUUCCCGGUCACCUUGGCAACCACUAUCUGCCCAGGCCUAAGGAUUCCUCUCUGAUGUGGGCCAGUAACAAGGUGAAAUUUUUGUGCAGCCGUACUUAUCGAUUGUCCACAUCUGAUGAAAUGGGAGAAGCUGCUCCAAAGGAGAACAAUGUACAAAUACAAUACAAGAAAUCUGUAUGGUUGCCUAUUGCUCUCAUCAAUUGCACUGAGAGCUGAAGCCGACGAAGGCUAAACAGGCUGAUCUAUGCCAUUUUGAGUAAUCUGAUUAUAACAUACAGGAAUACAAAUAAAUAGCCUAGAUCUAA